AUGAGAGGAUGCUUGCUUCUCGUGAGUCUGCCAGACGUGUCUGAGACGGCGUAGAGAUCAAGUAGUCUCUCACGCGAAUCGUGAUCUGGUCAGAUAGGGGGACAACGUUUCGAAAGGAACGCUAAUACCGCAUACGUCCUACGGGAGAAAGCAGGGGACCUUCGGGCCUUGCGCUAUCAGAUGAGCCUAGGUCGGAUUAGCUAGUUGGUGAGGUAAUGGCUCACCAAGGCGACGAUCCGUAACUGGUCUGAGAGGAUGAUCAGUCACACUGGAACUGAGACACGGUCCAGACUCCUACGGGAGGCAGCAGUGGGGAAUAUUGGACAAUGGGCGAAAGCCUGAUCCAGCCAUGCCGCGUGUGUGAAGAAGGUCUUCGGAUUGUAAAGCACUUUAAGUUGGGAGGAAGGGUUGUAGAUUAAUACUCUGCAAUUUUGACGUUACCGACAGAAUAAGCACCGGCUAACUCUGUGCCAGCAGCCGCGGUAAUACAGAGGGUGCAAGCGUUAAUCGGAAUUACUGGGCGUAAAGCGCGCGUAGGUGGUUCGUUAAGUUGGAUGUGAAAGCCCCGGGCUCAACCUGGGAACUGCAUUCAAAACUGACGAGCUAGAGUAUGGUAGAGGGUGGUGGAAUUUCCUGUGUAGCGGUGAAAUGCGUAGAUAUAGGGAAGGAACACCAGUGGCGAAAGCGACCACCUGGACUGAUACUGACACUGAGGUGCGA
rnacentral:rRNA from 1 species